rnacentral:rRNA from 1 species
CCUACGGGAGGCAGCAGUGAGGAAUAUUGGUCAAUGGUCGGGAGACUGAACCAGCCAAGCCGCGUGAGGGAGGAAGGUACAGAGUAUCGUAAACCUCUUUUGUCAGGGAACAAAGGCGGGGACGUGUCCCCGGAUGAGUGUACCUGAAGAAAAAGCAUCGGCUAACUCCGUGCCAGCAGCCGCGGUAAUACGGAGGAUGCGAGCGUUAUCCGGAUUUAUUGGGUUUAAAGGGUGCGCAGGCGGUCUGUUAAGUCAGCGGUCAAACCCCGGGGCUCAACCCCGGCCCGCCGUUGAAACUGGCAGUCUCGAGUUGGAGAGAAGUAUGCGGAAUGCGCGGUGUAGCGGUGAAAUGCAUAGAUAGCGCGCAGAACUCCGAUUGCGAAGGCAGCAUGCCGGCUCCACACUGACGCUGAGGCACGAAAGCGUGGGUAUCGAACAGGAUUAGAUACCCCUGUAGUC